rnacentral:sRNA from 1 species
CUUUAGCCCCGAUUGCAGUGAAAAUCCUUUCUCGUCCUGAACUUGUUUCAGGAUCCUGAAACAAGUUCAGGACGAGAAAGAUUGCAACGGAAAGCGGGAACGGUA